AAGUCUUCAAGGCAACACUUCCUUGAAGUAAAUUUGUCUUAUGAAAUGCUGCUUACCUGCUCGCCUUUGGUGAACAAAGAGCUAAGCAGGAAAGGAAAGCGAAAGAAAACGGAAGAGUUGAAGAAUCAGACGAAGCCAUCAACCGGUGCCAUUUAGAGCUGCUAAGACAAGGUCUAUCUGUCAUGAUGGCGUGGCUGGUCCUCAGUUUUUUCCUUGAGAGAGGAACAACACAUCAAAACGAGAAGGGCGGCUGGUUCGACACUGCUCAACGCGCUCUUUGAUCUUCAACGGGGCACCUCUUGCACGUCCUGCUACGUGUAAAAUGAACAUCAACAGCUAAUUCUGCUUUUUUUCCCUGGCGGGGCUGAGACAAAAAGAGA